CCGUAAGGGGUACCUGCGGAAGGAUCAUUACCGAGUUCUCGGGCUUCGGCUCGAAUCUCCCACCCUUUGUGAACAUACCUCUGUUGCUUUGGCGGCUCUUUGCCGCGAGGAGGCCCUCGCGGGCCCCCCCGCGCGCUUUCCGCCAGAGGACCUUCAAACUCCAGUCAGUAAACGUCGACGUCUGAUAAACAAGUUAAUAAACUAAAACUUUCAACAACGGAUCUCUUGGUUCUGGCAUCGAUGAAGAACGCAGCGAAAUGCGAUAAGUAAUGUGAAUUGCAGAAUUCAGUGAAUCAUCGAAUCUUUGAACGCACAUUGCGCCCCCUGGCAUUCCGGGGGGCAUGCCUGUUCGAGCGUCAUUACAACCCUCAAGCUCUGCUUGGUAUUGGGCGCCGUCCUCUCUGCGGACGCGCCUUAAAGACCUCGGCGGUGGCUGUUCAGCCCUCAAGCGUAGUAGAAUACACCUCGCUUUGGAGCGGUUGGCGUCGCCCGCCGGACGAACCUUCUGAACUUUUCUCAAGGUUGACCUCGGAUCAGGUAGGGAUACCCGCUGAACUUAAGCAUAUCAAAGGCCGGAGG
rnacentral:rRNA from 1 species